GCCUGUAAGAGACAGAAGUAGAAUUUGGUUUUGGGGGCUUCCAUUCAUGGGAUCUCAAGCUGUGCCUGCUGCUGCUUCCUGGCCUCUGGGUCGGGACCCUGGCUGGCGGCAAGGAGAGCCCUGUGUCUGGCUGGGAGCUGGCCGCAGGAUGUGGACUGUUUAUUAUUUCUGGGGCUCAUGGCUAGGCCUCCAUCUGAUGCUGGAAAAGAACGGGUAAAAGACUUUGAAGAAGGUGGAAAGGAGUUUUGUGUCCAAAGAGACAUGGUGGGAGUCAGGGGAUGGAUAGCUAGAGCCGGGCGGCUUCUGUGUCAUGCAGUGAAGCUGUGUCAGGACCUGGUUCUCAUGGUGACACGGCUUGCCUCCCUCGAAGCUGUUAGCAACUUCAUCUCUUCUGCUGAGAGGAAAGGACAGUGGUGUUGACACCAAGGUCUCCGGAGUGGGAGACACUUUGCACCCACACCUAUGGCUUCAACUUCACCAGAAGAAGUGCUAAUCCGCCGGUAUUUGCAACUGGUUCCUGACACCUUCCCGUCCCCCUCAGGAGCAGGGUUGUCACUCAGAGCAAUUAUAUUCCCAGCAACAA